GGUCCCAUGGUGUAAUGGUUAGCACUCUGGACUCUGAAUCCAGCCAUCCAGAGUUCAAAUCUCGGUGGGACCU
rnacentral:tRNA from 2 species